GGCCGACUAGCUCAGUUGGUUAGAGCGUCGUGCUAAUAACGCGAAGGUCUUGGGUUCGAUCCCCACGUUGAUCC
rnacentral:tRNA from 1 species